rnacentral:lncRNA from 1 species
GAGAAAACUGUCUGAAUAUAUUAUCUGAAAUAAUGUCUGAAAUCUCAAUACUGAAUAAGAUGAAUCAAAACUAGCAGUCUGAUAUGCCUUUACUACUAAUAACUAGAGAGUCACUGGGACAGACCCCCAGCGUACUCAAACUGUCUGAAAAGAAUACUAAAUCAUAUAAAACUACUAAGCUACAAAAUAUGAAUGAAUAAGUCCCCAUACUAUGAGGACUCACCAACUGUCGGAUGUAGAAGAUGCUCGAACUACUCACGUUGCUGAUGCUGAGCACCUGAACCUACAUUAUGAGACAAUGUAUCACAUAGACGUAUAUGUGGAUCUGUACUUUAAGGAUGUACUGAGUAUAUAGGGUUGAAAUGCAUAAAUAAAACAUUAUCUCAUCAUCACAAUUUAUAAAGCAAUGCAUGCUAAAUGUAAAUGACUCACAUAAGCUAGAAUAUCUGAAAUACAGAAAUCUAAAGUCAUGAAAAACAAAUCAAACUUUAUAAAUCUAGUGAGUCAUAACAUUUAGUUCUAGAAGCUCUACUUAUAUUCUCUCUUUAAAUCAUAUUAUCUAAGUGUAGAAAGGACUCACCCUUAAAUUUGAAAUCUAAAAGCUGAAAACUGUAAUUAAAUAUCUUUCUGUAAAGCAUAGUUUGAAUAAGUUGGUGAGCCUUUACACUUAUUUUUCUAAAAUCUUUUUUGUCAUUCUGUCUUAGGAAUUAGGAACUUUGGGAGGUACUUCUAACCGACAUAAAUCAUGUGAGCUGUCAUGGAGUCCAACGUCUUACCCACAUUGGGGAGAGUUGUUCUACCCUUGCCAUUGGAAUAGAACCUUAACUUAACUGAUCACUAUCUUAGCCUACUAUGGAAAAAUCAUAAACCUAUGGUGGCACGUAGUUCUGGGGCAUGAGACUUUGGAAUCAUACCCAACUCGGUGAUAAAUACUACUCCUAUACUUAUCACUCAGAACUUUUAGGAAAUCCACCUUAAAAUAGCAUAAGGGUUUAUAAUGAAAACCAAUUAUGAUUCUCUUUCUUUAAAUUUCAAACUAUAUGAACAAUGUGGAUUCCUUAUCUUAGCUGUGGAUCAAAAGAUCAAAAUUUUACUAAAAAUCUAUGAAUAAACUGAUCAUUGGAUGCUUAAAACAUCAUCUUUCUUGAAACAUUCACAUAUAAUCUUGGGCUUAUUAACCCAUACAUCAAACUUAUGCCAAAACAUCAUAAUAUUCAUGCUUAAUAAUGAAAACAAAGAUAAUUCAUCUCAAAAUCUGUAAAUUUCUGCAAUAGGCAUGAAAGUAUGCAAAAUAGACAUGCAAUUCAACUUCUAAAAUAUUGAAAAUCUCAUAAUCUUAAAAUUAGCAAUAAAGGGAAUGAAUCCUAAUUCAAAUCUCAUGUAUAAUUAUUCAAAAUCAAAUGAAUUUUAAAUAAAAGCUUGGUUUUGGGCACAAGGAUGGAAGAAGAUCCUUGUUCAUAAACUCCACAUACCUUGAUUGAUAAUUAGAUGAAGAAAAUUGAAUUAUUGAUUCCUAUUUGAGUUCUUGAAGAUGGAUUCUUGAUUAUCUUGUCUUGGAAAUCGUCAAUCUUAAGCUUUCUUGGAGAAACAAUGGAGGAUUUUGAUUUCUUGGAGAAGAAGCUUUGGAGCUCUAGGGUUUUUCUUUUGAAGAGAAUGGUGAAUAAUGAGCAUAAAGGGCUUUAAACAUGAUUAAUAUUUUGUUUUGAACGGAUUAAAACCUUGGGGAUUAACCAAAAUACCCCUAUUAAACUUUAAGUCAGAACUAAAAAACUGCAACAUUUUUUCGAACUAGCAGGCCACUGUGACGCGCUACUAUCGCGGUGGCUUACUAGAAAGUGGAUGAGUGGGAACUGGGCAUGCUCCGCGAUGCACCACCAUUGCGGUGCUCCUUUGGAAUGACAUUUUGGCCAUUGGCACGACGUGCCACUAUCGUGUUCGGCUACUGGAUAUUGACAAAUGGGAAAUAGGAUGCUUCGCGAUGUUCCAAUAUCACGGAGGUCCACUAGAAUGUGACGAUUGUAAUUUUUGCCUUCUCCGCGAUGCGUUGAGUGCCCAGGUGGCACACUGUCAACCGUGUGUCAGAUUUAGGUGAAUUUGGUAUCGAUGGAACGCUUAUUCAAUUUCCCACACAAUGGGAGGUCUAAAUCUGGAAAAUUUUGCAUGAAAUAAAUAUUAUUCAUUUUGGAAUCUAUCCCUUAACAUUCUAGGAAUGAAUUUAAGCUAGGAAAAGUGCGGGGUAUUACAAUUCUGGAUGACUCAAAGGUCUAUACAAAGUGUAAUUGGCCAUAUUUACAAGACAUCUUUGGAACAACACAAGAUUGGAGAAAGGAGAAAGCAUUAAAGGCUCCACACUAGUUUUUUUUCGUACUUUAAAUUUUCUUUCUUGUAGUUUUACUUUAUGAGCUCAUCUAUGGUGAUUCUUUGUAUGACUAUGAGUAGGUAAACACCCUAUUUCUAGGGUUAAGGAUACAACAUAAUUUCUUAAGUAUGAUUUAUAUUUGGUUUAUAUGUUUAUAACGCCAAGAUAUUAUCCUUGAGUUCUUGCUUUAAUAUUCUAAAGAGUCAUGAACUUUACGAUAAAUCUAAGUCUCAAAACAAAUUCACCAUGGGAGUAGAGAGAUAGAACGAAGAACGUAGGUAGUGUGGAUCAUAUAUUUAAUUGUUAGAUACUAAUUAUUAAAGGAUGAUUUGUGAUUAGGAUAGAGAUAUACCUAAACUCCCUAAUUGAUUAAUAAAAUGGGAAGAUAACUUAAUGCAUCCAAAUUAAAGACUUACAUCCCUGCAACAAUUUAGCUGUAAGAUUAAUUUGGGUAGAUGCCUUAGAGAAUGACCAUUCCCACAUUGUAAUAUCAAACCCGUACAUCAAUAAUCACGAUAAACACUAACACCGGCUAGAAACUAUUGUUAUGAAUGAAUGUGUAGUAAGUCUCAACCCUAGAAGCUCUCCAUAUAUUGUUUACAAUCUAAAUUUCGUAUUGUUUUCAUUUUUGUUAUGUAGUUUAUAAUUACAAAACUCAAACUCUUCUUGGUUACAAACCGCAUUUGUUUAAAUUAGAUAGUAAUACUCGAAUUGAAUUUUUUGCUAAAAAUCAAGUCCCUAUGAGAUCAAUAUUUAGAUUGUAAGAGCUACUUUAUUACUUGCACAACCACGUACACUUGUGUGUCCGAUUUGAUGCAACAAGUGUUUGCAUCAUUGCCAGGGACUUAAAAAAUUAGCAACCUUUUAAUUUUUAUUUUUACUAUUCUAUUUGCUAAGUGCUAACAACUUGGUAUUAGCUACUGAAUUUACAAAUACAGGCUUGAAUCUUAAGCAAGCUAACAAGGGAGAUGGAAUUCAUUGAACCACAUCCCAAAUCUGAGUGGUGCUUGCUCUAUAUGAGGAACGAAUCAACAUUGUUCUAUCCAAUCCCACAAGUUCCGCAAGGCAAGACCAUUCCUACAAUAAUGUGUGGUGCCCGCGGAACAGUGUGCGAAGUCAAAAUCAAACUCACAACCAAUAUAACCUCCAAUAUCUAUAGACCACACACAAGAGGCAAAUUUAAGCUUAAACAAUAAAUGGUGCAAUUGUUUCAUGCAAGCGAGCAGUUUACAAGCUUGUCAUCGGAGUAUCCAUAGGUCUAUCAUAAGAAUUUUAUAUAGAUCAAUGACACAUUCAUACCCACAGUAGACUCCAUAGAUUACAUGAGGCUACCUCUUUUUCCAUUGUUACUUUUUAGAGAAGCAAAGAAAUAGUUGAAGGUAGAACCUUCAAAUUUAAUCACAACUUGGGACGACUUGACUAAGAAGUUUCUUAUUUGAAUUUUUUCCAUCUGGAAAAUCAGUAUGGUUGAGGAAAGAGUUGUGGAUCGGUUGGUUCGAUUUGAUUUUAUGUAUUAUUGAUUUGGUUUAUAGGUUAUCAAUUUUUAAAUAAGUUAAACCAAUAAUCAAACCAAUAAGAUAUUUUUAACGAUUUUUGGUUUAUUAAUUUUAGUCCUUAACAGUUUGGUUUUCAGUUUAACCGAUAAGAAAAUAUGCAUAAAAUAGAAAUAGUAGCAACUAACAAGAAAAGAAGCAAAAUCUUAGUUGCAGUAAAAAUCCUACAUAAUAUGUUUUAUUUUACAAGAAUCUUCAAGCUUGAAUAUGUUUUCGAGAAAUUGAACAGGUUUAUAGAAAUAAAAGAGAAAUAUAGAGUAGGUUAUAUAUAUAUAUUAGUAGGGAUAAAGUGUAAUUUAGAAUAUUCUUAUUGGGUUAUCAGUUAAUCCAAUAGCCCAAUACGAAAAAAUCAAACCAAAUCAAUAACCCAAUAUUUUUUUUCCAUAAAACCAUUGAAAAACUAUUAACCCUACCUAAUAACAAUAAACCAAUAACCAUUUUAUUGGUUCGGUUUAUUGGUCAGUUUGAUUUUUGCACACCCCCAGUUGAGGAGUGAGAUUUUAAGUUUCAAGCAAAAGCCAGACGAAAAUCUCUAUCAUGCAUAGGAGAGAUUCAAACCUCUUAUAAAAGUUUUCCCACAUCAUUAACAUAAAAAUGAAGUAUUAACUCAUACUUUCAUUGAAAGUCUUGACCAUAACACAAAUAUUUUGCUAGAUUCAAUGGUAGGUAGUCAGGAUUUAGAGAAAACCUAUGAUGAGAUAUAUACUCUCCUUAACCGUAUUGUACAAGGCAAUCCAGAGUGGUAGGAUGAUGUUUCCAGAAGCAUUAUAAAGAAGCCUAGAGGUAUGAUUGAGGUAGAUAAUAUGACAACAUUGGUUGUAGAGUUGGGCACUUUUCAAACACAGAUGAUGACCCUGUUUAUCAAUUGAGUAUGGCUCAACCACAGACCCAGGUUAAUGUAGUUCAACAAGUACAAACCUGGUGUGAAAUUUGUUGUAGUAAUGAUCACUCUGCAAACUUAUAUUAAGCAAAUUCACAAUUAGUGAAUUUUGUGGAAAUGCAUAAAAAGAGAAUUAGACUUAUGGUAAUGACUAUAAUAGAAACUGGCAGAGUCAGUCCAACUACUCUUGGGGCACUAACCAGGUCCAACCUUAACAGUUUUAGUAGCAACAAGGUAUUCAAAACAACAAGCAGGCUAGAAACAUAGAAAAGACUUUGAAAAAGAUUUUGACCAACUAAGACUAGAUGGCUGCAGAGAUAAAAAAUUAGCAAUUAGAUCAAAAGAAUUUAGAGACACAGAUAGGUUAGUUAGCCCAAGCACAAAAUACAAGACCUCAAGGGGGUUUGCCUAGUAAUACAUAUCAAAAUUCAAAACAAAUUAUGGCAAUUACCUUGAGGAGUGGCAGAUAUUAGAUAGACACCUAAAAAGAAGAAUCAUGAGGUGCAAUAAGAAUUGAUCACACCUAAGCAGACGAAAAAGCAAGUUGAAUCUAAUAAAGCUGAUAAAAAGGAAAGUUUGAGUGCUUCCUAAUUGAUUAAUAAAAUAGAAAGAUAACUUAAUGCAUCCAAAUUAAAGACUCACAUCCCCGUGCAACAAUUUAGUUGUAAGAUUAAUUUGGGUAGAUGCCUUAGGGAAUGAUCAUUCCCAUAUUGUAAUAUCAACCCCAUAGAUCAACAAUCACGAUAAACACCAAAACCAGCUAGAAACCAUGGUUAUGAAUGAAUGUGUUGUAAGUCUCAACCCUAGAAGCUCUCUAUAUGUUGUUUACAAUCUAAAUUUUGUAUUGUUUUCAUUUUUGUUUCUUAGAUUGUAAGAUCUACUUUAUUACUUGCACAACCAUGUAUACUUGCGUGUGCGGUUUGAUGCAAUAAGUUUUUGCAUCAUUGCCAGGGACUUAAAAAAUUAGCAAACUUUUAAUUGUUGGUUUUACUAUUCUAUUUGAUAAGUGUUAAAAACUUGGUAUUAUCUAUUGAAUUUGCAAAUACAGGUUUGAAUCUUAAGCAAGCUAACAAGGGAGAUGGAAUUAGUUGAACCACAUCCCAAACCAGAGUGGUUUUUAUUCUAUAUGAGGAGCAAUCAUUAUUAUUAGGGAUUCUCAAGACCCCUUUGAUAAACCACUAACAACUAGCUCCCACAAGUGCAAAUCACCACCAAUAUCAUGUAAAAUCACAAGUCUAAGCAAGAGCAAACAAUACACAUCAUUAUGAAACAAAACCCUUAUCAUUUCAUUUCAAAAUCACCAUUUACAAGUAUUAAUCCACGUUUAAAAUACAUGAUUUUUGCAAAGGAAAAAGUCACAUGCCUUAAACAAGAUGAUCUCUAAGAAAAUUGACUCCUCUUUGCCUCUAGAUGAACACCCCUCGGAACCCUUGCCUCUAAUCCUAUUUUUAGAAGUGUAAAAUAUGUUUUUGGAAUAUUUUGAUCUUCAAAAAUAAAUGUUUAGGAGGCCAUAAGAUAUUAUAUAGUGAGGGGAAUAAGGGUUUUAGGGUUGGAAAUAUCCAUAAAGCCCUUGGCUUAAAAUUUGAGAAGUGACUUCCCAAGUGGGUACGACUCACUUACUCAAUUGUACCUUGGGGUACGAGUGGUACCCUAACUCGUACCCUAGGCCAUUACAAGGACCCCUACACUGGCUAAGGUAUGAAAACACACCCUUGAAUUGUACCCAAGGGUACAAAUUGUACCCUAAAUCGUAUACACAAUAGUGUCAACUAGACUAAGUGCCAACCCUUAUACGACUUCACUUGGUAAGACUCGUACCUUAAAUAGACCAUGAGAAGGCCAGGUUGUAUAUUGGAUAGUGUGUAACCCCCACCACACUACCUAGGAUACUAUAGGGGUCACUAAGUUAUAUAUAAGGGUACAGCUAGUACCCUGAGUUAAGUGAAUUUUCUUAAGGAUCAAAAGCCUAGGUGUUUCAAAGAAGGAUAACCCAUAUACUUCCUCAACAUAGAAACAUGGAACACUGGAUAAAUACAGCUCAAACUAGAAGGUAACUCCAACUCAUUUUCAACAUAACCAAUCCUUUUCAAAACCAAGGAAGGACCGACAUACAGGGGGCUGAGCUUUCCCAUUUUACCAAAUAAAUCACUCCCUUCAUGGGAGACACCUUUAAGAAAACCCUAUCCCUAACCUCAAACUAUAACUCUUUUUGCCUCACAUCUGCAUAGGACUUUUGGCAACUUUAGGCAUCCUUAAGCCUAUCCCAAAUCACCUUUACUUUUUCCAUAGCUUGUUGAACCAAAUCCGAGCCAAACAUCUUUGCCUCGCCAACCUGGAACCACCCAAUAGGAAACCUACACCUCCUACCAUACAAGGACUCAAACGGAUCCAUCCCAAUGCUAGAAUAAUAACUAUUAUUGUAAGAAAACUCUACAAGAGGUAGAUGCUCAACCCAACUACCACUAUAGUUAAUCACACAUGUAUGAAGUAUAUCCUUCAAUAUAUAAAUAGUUCUCUCUUCUUUCCCACCUAAAUGUGGGUGAAAAGUAGUACUAAGACUCACCUUGUUCCCUAAACCUUUUAAAAUGAUCACCAAAAAUAAUAUGUAAACUGCGUACCACUAUCUGAGAUAAUAGAAAUCGGUACCCCAUGCAGCUUCAUAAUCUCAUGAAGAACCUCACAUAAUCCUUAAUGGAGAAGUUAGUCCUUGAUGAGGUGGUGUUUUUACCACUCAUUCAUACUCAUUAUUCAUGCAUAAUGCCUUGAUUUUAAUGCAUAAAUAAGAUAAACUUAUGGUUAGAUGCACUAAUAUCUACUCGAUGCAAGUAAAAAAAAAGCUAAGGAGGUCCAAAGAUAUAGAUUGGAGCUGAAAAUGAUAAAGAAGAAGCUUAGAAGAGUGCAGUUGAAGACCUGAAUUGCAUUAUCCCCAUUUACCAUGACCGUGAUCUUCUAGCCACUAUCGCGGUCAGUCAAGACAGUCAGAGCAAUGUGAUCGCAACACAAAAAUGCAGUCAUGAGUUCCCAGUCAUGGAUAGAUGUUCACAAUUACGGUUAAGCGGGAGUUGGCCUAGGGGCAUAUCUAUAAAAGCACUUAGACGUAUCCUAAGCCAUAUUAAAGCAAAACCCCCUUCCCCUUUUUAGGAUACCUUAUUGCAUAAGAUCUCUUGGAAUUCAAGAUUUGAAACCCUAAUCUUGGGAAAGUGUGUAAUCGAUUUUGGGAGGAUCAAUUUAUUAGUUUUUUUAUUGAAGAAUGGAUGCUUUGAAUGACCCAUAUGGUAUACUUCUCUUUACUUUUUUCAUUAGUAACUAAAAUAAUUUAGUCUUGGGAUUAUGAUGAAUUAGUGUGUGAUUGUGUGUGGGUAUUGUUGUGUUUGCAUGGAUUUUAGUUGUUGAGUAUGGGUUUCACCAUUACUUGAGCUUAUGAGUUAGGAUUUAAUGGGUGAAAACUCUAAAUUUCCAAAUGGGUUUGAUGGGUAAAAGCGCCAAGCUCUAGAAACCCUUUGUACCUAUGGGUUACUACCCUUUACAAUCUUAGAAAUAAGUGUUUAGGGAUUGUAAUUUAUGUCAAGAGCAUCAUCCUAGAAAUAGAGAUGCUUUGGUUGAGGUUUUGGGUGGUUAUACAAACUCCACACUUGUUAGGUGCUCGAAAGAUCCAAUGAGUGAAAUCAUUGGGGUUUUAAUGAAAUAUUGACCUCAAUGACCUUUGACUUAGCCUAUCCAUUAAUUAACAACUAAAUUCCAUACUAAACCAACAAUAUCCCACACGCUUCAGCUCUAAGGAUACAUGAUCCCAAGAUUCCUCCAACCUUGAAUUCAAAUCAAAGAUAUCGUUUACUGAUUACUUAUUAAAGGUAGUAGUAAAAUGGUUCCCAAACAAAUCCCCCAAUUUAAAUUAUACAUGUCUUUUCUUUAGUAUAACUGAUGACCUUAUAGUAAUUGGAAUACCCAUAGGUCUGAAGUCUAUAACAUUCACUCCUUGAGAUUCGACCCCGAUUAACAUUGGGUUACUUGACAAUGACCGCCUCACCCCUCAAUUAUGGGAGUGAGUUGAGCGUUAUCAAUAUAGCACCGUUGUCGGGGAUUAAAAUAUAGAUUGUGCUUGUGCGGUAUGAUUCUUACUUGGGAGUAUCCAGAGUGUCGUAUUUUAUUUCCUUUGUUGUUUUUGGAUCUUUUGUAGGUAAACUUAGCAUAAAAUGAAUUAAUGAGUGAAGGCACAACCCUAUGAAGUUGAGUGUUACACCCUUGCUUGGAGAAAAUCACUUGAACGAUGGGUAUCAUGCAGAUGAAAAUUCAACCCCACCUCACCUUGGGAACGGGUCUUUUCAUGUGUCUAGUGUCAUGCUUCAUGUGUUAUAAGUAAAGGGGUUAUAAGGAGGCCAAUCCCAUGAAGAUUCAUAUGUUCACUUGAGAAAUUUUUUGGAAGUUUGUACUCCAUUCAACAUUUGCCCUAGUGCUCAGGAAGCCUAUCGACUUCAUUUAUUUCCAUUCUAACUAAUAAGUGAAGCAUUGUUAUGGCUCCAUAUAUUUCCUUCAGCUUUACUUACUUUAUGGAAUGAGCUCAUAAAGGAGUUUUUAGAUAAAUUCUCCUAUCCAUCCAAGGUGUGUGAAUCAAGAGAUGAAAUUAUGAAUUUUAGGCAAAAGAACGGCGAGCCCCUACAUGAAGUAUGGGAGAGAUUCCAUAGAAUAUAGGCCAAAUGCCCAAACCAUGAGAUUCUGGGGAAGGCACUCCUCCAAAUAUUCUAUCGGGGGCUAGAUCCUUUGAACCAAUUGGUGGUAAAUAAUGCAGAGAAGGGUCAUCUCUUGAACUUGUACUUUAAUGUGGCUGAAAAAUUGAUGAGAGAGGUGACUAAACACAAUCGAGAAGGUCACACUCAAUACAUCCAUAUCUCAAAUAGCCCUUCAACUAAACCCAUGACUAAUUUAUACCAAAAUGGAAAAAGAAUCAAAGGCUAAUCUAGGAUAAGAUCCUUAAUCAACUUGAACUAUUUAUUAAGUACAUCAUCGAUACCGACAAAGUUGGAAAGGAGGAUCUCCUUGCAAGGAUUUUGAGUAAGGUUGAACGAAUGGACGAAUUGGUUCAUGAAGUAAGAAAGAACUUUAUUUCACUUUCUAAAAAGGUAGCCUCCCAUUCGGAUUCCAUAAAGGAAUUGGAGAAUCAAAUAGGACAAAUCUCAACACGUCUUGAUGCUAAGCCUAAGGGUGACUCCACUAGUGGCAAAACCACAAAUAUUCAAACCGAUGAUCAAAUUUUAGCAAUGCGUGCAGUGGAUAAAAAGCCAAUGGUGGAGCACUUAAUGGAGGAAUUUGGGGGAAAAAUGCCCAACACCAAACUAACAAAGAGGAUGUCCCAAAUUUUAAUAGAGAAGAAGAAGAAUGAAGUGGAAGGAAUUUUUGAAAGGUUGAUUGAUGAAGGGGAAUUUGAUAAGUGGGGUCUUGUGGACCUUUCUUGAUGAGUUGAUGCAUGCCAACGUCGGGCCACGAUGUUAACUACGACGCUGUGUGGGAGGCAUUCCACAAAUUCCACGAUGACCACUCACAUCCUUUUUAUCAUAUUUUUCUAGUAUGAAUGUUAAAUUUAGCAUAUGAAUAACUCAUGUAAGUGUGACGCUAUGGAGUGCUUGGCAUAAGUAUGGAAAGGGAAGAUUGUACAAUGAUUUGAGUUGAAGAUCUAUCAGUGGGCACAUAGGCACCAAAUAAGCUAAAAAGAUGGAUGAAGAAGAAAUAGGGGAGUAGGUAUGCCCUCGGUUAUUGCGACUAUGGUCCUCAUAUGCAAUCAUGGAUACUCGCCUAUCUACGACAGCGGUUAGAUAGUUGCAAUCACAGAUAGUGAAGCUAGUUGAUUCAGUGACUGCAACUCUAUACCCCUUACACCCCUGCUCAAGUUCUUCCAUACAAGACCAGUUUGAUCCUAGAUUAAAUGGUGGUGCAGAGUCUGAAAAUGAUAGCAGUCCCUGAUGGAGUCUUAGGGAGCACCCUUAUCUCUUUGUUAGCCUUGAUUAUCAUGCAGUAGGGGCAUUGAUACAUUUUAGUUGGGGAUGUUUCCUUACACAUUUCAUUUAUGUGUAUACAUUUGAUAUCGAUGCACAUCUCUCGACUCAUUAAGAUUAUUCUUAUCUUGUUUCUUAUUGGGGUUGUAAUAUUUGGGCAUCCUGAUGGUGCUCAUGCUAGCCUGAAUUUGUUAUUUCAUUCUUAGUUUGAUGUUUUAGUUUUAUUUUCAUUAAGUGAGACUUGCCAUUGUUGUUGGGUUUCAAUCCAUAGAUGCAGGGAAAGUCUGAGUAUCCACGGCAUCAAAGCUAUAAAAUGCUAGGAAAGUUUGAGUACCUGUAGCAUUAAUGCUUUGGGAGCACAUUCAUAUCCAUUGGUGAAGUCUGAGUAACCACAUGGGUAGUUAGCCUGUACUACGAGUCACAAUGAGAGACCACAACUUUGUUUGUUACCAUAAUUAGCAAAUUAUCUAUGAUGCAAAUACAAAGGCAAACAACCCCCUUCGUCCAAAAAUUUUCACAAAAUCUGAAGGCAUGGACGUGAGCAACUUUGUAACGAUAUUUUCCUUCUUUGUAUGACUCUGAGAUUUGACGUUGGAAAGUUAAUGAAUACCCCAUAUUUAUCUCGAGCGAGUAGAAUGAUUUAACCCUCUUGACGGUAGUUGCAUGCCAUGUGUGUAAGGUUGAUUAUCUUCAUCGCUUGUGUACUUGUACUUUCUAGAACUUGCCCCUUUAGUCUUUCAAAGCUAAUUUAGAUUGUUUUUGGUUGGAGGAAUGACCAUAGGCCAUCUUUGUGAUUUUGGUAUCCACUUUAAGCCUAAAAAUCCUACCCUUGCAUAAGUAUAUUCCCUAGAACCUACUUUGAGACUUUGGACCUUUCUUUGGUAAACACAUUACAAGCCAUGAACCAUUCUUUUUAUCCCUCUUUUGAACCAUACCCUUCUUGAACUUGAGAAUGUAGGUUGAGGCAAAAAGACUAAGUGGAGGGUGGAAAAUAUUGAAGGAAUAAAGUUUGGUACCACAAAGAGUUAGUGUAUACCUAAUGCCUAAGUUUUGAAAAGAAGAGAAUAGAAUAGAAAAUGACCCAACAAAGAAAAGAUAGAUUUAACAUUGCAAGAAAAUGAAAUAAAAGAAGUUGGGUGAGCAAACGAAGCAAAAAGUAGGCAUGGUAAAAGAAAGAAAGUAAGGAGAUUAACCCAUAGUUAUAGAGAGAAAAAAAGAACUUUGAAAAAUGUGAUGUAGAUGUUCAAGGAAGGGUGUAGCCAUGUUGUUUCCAAAAUGAUAUCCUACCCUACCCCAACCCUACAUUACAAUCUUAGAAAGUUCUUUGAGAUCUCCAACCGCUUACCUUCUUUUUAGUGGUGAUUGAAGAUUGGGGCAAGCCUAUGGUAUGGUGCUUGUUAACAUGGAGAAUUUAUUGAGAGAGUGAGAGCUUGCACUUAAAGUUCCUUGUUGCAUGAUUAGUAACCAGGUGUGUGGAAUUUUUCUUUCUCAUGAGGAGACAUGCAAGCUAGUUGACAUAGCAUAUCCCUCACAAUGAGGUAAAUAAGGGCAUACAAGUUAUUUUUAGAGUGUUAGGAGUUAUUACAUGGUUGCUCACCAAAGUCUAUUGCAUCCUUCACUAUUUCACUUUAUAAUGAGGGGAGUGGUUAAAACUUAUUUGCCUAUGUGUGAAAUGCUUUUAGUGGUGGCACUCAAGUUAAUUUAUCAUGAUUAUUGAUUGAUAGAAUUAGGGUACACAUUCUCUUAUAACAUAGGGGCAGUGUUGCUUAAGGACAAGCAAAGUCUUAAAUUGGGGGUUGUUGAUGACUGGUGUUUUUACCACUCAUUCAUACUCAUUAUUCGUGCACAAUGCCUUGAUUUGAAUGCAUAAAUGAGACAAACUUAUGGUUAGAUGCACUAAUAUCCACUCGGUGCAGGUAAAAAAAACCUAAGGAGGUCAAAAGAUAUGGAUUGGAGCUAAAAAUGAUAAAGAGAAAGCAUAGAAGAGUGCAGCUAAAGACCUAGAUUGCAUCAUCCUCGGUUACCGCGACCGCGGUUCUCUAGCCAUGAUCGCGGUCAGUCAAGAUGGUCAGAGCAACGCGAUCAUAGCACAAAACCACAGUCGCGAGGUCGCGGUCGCGGACAGAUGUCCGCAAUCGUAGUUAAGUGAUAAUAAUCCCAGGGAUAGAUUUGUAAAAGCACUUAGACGCAUCCUAAUCCAUAUUUAAGCAAAAACCCCUUCCUCUUUAAGAUAGCUUAGUUCCUAAGAUAUCUUGGAAUUCAAGAUCUGAAACCUUAAACUUGGGCAAGUGUGUAAUUAUUUUAGGAGGAUCAAUUUCUUAGUUUCUUAUUGAAGAAUGGAAGCUUUGAUUGACCCAUAUGGUAUAUUUCUUUUUUACUUUCUUCACGAGUAGCUAAAAUAAUUUAGUCUUCGGAUUAUAUUGAAUUAGUGUGUGAUUGUGUGUGGGUAUUGUUAUGUUUGCAUGGAUUUUAGUUGUUGAGUAUGGGUUUUAUCAUUGUUUGAGCUUAUGAGUUGGGAUUUGAUGGGUGAAAACUCCAAAGUUCUAAAUGGGUUUGAUGGGUGAAAGCUCAAAGCUCUAGAAACCCUUUGUCAUCCUCAAGAGAGGGACUUAGGUGAAUAUUAAGUAACUCAUAAAAUCCUUGAAAGAGGGUUAUCGGGGGACAAGGCAAUGGUGAACAACUAAGCCUAUGGGUUACUACCCUUUACAAUAUUAGAAAUGCAUUUAGGGAUUAUAAUUAAUGUCAAGAGCAUCAUCCUAGAAAUAGGGAGGCUUGGUUAAGGUUUUGGGUGGUUAUACAAACUCCACACUUGUUAGGUUCUCAAAAGAGCCAAUGAGUGAAAUCGUUGGGGUUUUAUUGAAAGAUUUACCUUAAAAACCUUUGACUUAGCUUAUCUAUUAAUUAACAAGUAAAUUCCAUACUAAACCAAUAAUAUCCCACAUGCUUCACCUCUAAGGAUACGUGAUCCCAAGAUUCCUCCAAAUCUUGAAUUCAAAUCAAAGAUAUUGUUUACUGAUUACUUGUUAAAGGUAGUAGUAAAAAGGUUUCCAAACAAAUCCCCCAUUUAAUUAUAUAUGUCUUUUCUUCAGCAUUUCGGAUGACCUUAUAGUAAUUGGAAUACCUAUAGGUCUGAAGUCUACAUCAUUCACUCCUCAAGAUUCGACCCCGAUUUAUAUUUGGUUACUUGACAAUGACCGCCUCACCCCUCAAUUAUGGGAGUGAAUUGAGUGUUAUUAGUCCUCACUGGCAAAAAGUGAGCAGACUUUGUCAUCCUAUCCAUGAUGACGCAAAUCGAAUCAAACUGAUUCUGGGAAGAGGAAGACCGAGAACGAAAUCUAUGUUGAUCACUUCCCACUUCCACUCUGGAAACUCAAUUUCUUGAUACAAUCCUUCGGGCCUCACGUGCUCAACUUUCACUUAUUGGCACACCAUAAACUUGGACAAUAAAUUAGCCACAUCCCUCUUCAUAUUGUUCCACCAUUAAAUAUCCUUAAGGUCAUGAUAUAUUUUUGUCGAUCAUGGAUUAACAACAAAGCACGACUCAUGCACCUCAGCCAAGAUCCUUUCUCGCAAAUCAUCAACGUCGAGAACACAUAACCUUCCUUGAUACCGCAAAGUACCAUCACCAUAAAUCUCGUAAUCCAUCACUUUCUGCCUACUGACAUCAUCCUUCAUCCUCAACAAGACAUGAUAUAACAUCUGCUUCUCCUUGAUUUCAGCACCAAGAGACAACUUCACACCUUUUGAAUGAACACGCCACCAUCUUCAGUUUCUAAGAGGCAAACUCCUAGGUUAGAAAAAUAGUGAAUGUCCUUUACCAACUCCCAUUUCUCCUUAUCCACAUAAGCUAGAAUCCCCAUCGAUAACCUGCUAAGAGCAUUAGCAACUACAUUAGCUUUACCUGGAUGGUCGUAAAGACUCAUGUCAUAGUCCUUGUGAAAAUCAAGCCACCUUCUCUGCCUGAGGUUAAGUUCAUUCUGUGUUAACACAUACUGUAGGCUCUUAUGAUUCGAGAAGAUAUCCACGUGCACCCUAUACAAAUAGUGACACCAAAUUUUCUUAGCAAACACCACAACUAACAAUUCCAAAUCACGAGUAUGAUAGUUCCUCUUAUGUACCUUCAACUGUCUAGAAACAUAGGCUGUCACCUUACCAUACUGCAUCAGAACAGAACUAAGUUCUGUAUGGGAUGUAUCACAGUAGAACACAAACCCAUCAGUGCCUUCAGGCAAAGUCAAAUUGAAGCCAAAGUUAGCUUAUCCUUCAGCUUCUUAAAACUACCCUCACAAGCCUCCGACCACAAGAACUUUACCUUCUCCUGAGUUAACGGGGUAGCGAUGGUUGAAAACAUUUCCAAAAACCUCUAAUAGUAACCAGCUAAACACAAAAAGCUUUGAAUAUCAAUUGGAGUCAUGGGUCAGGCCAUUUCCUAACCACUGCAACCUUUGCGAAUCUACCAUGAUCCUCUCAAUAAAAAUGAUAUAACCUAGAAAACUGGCAGCGUUCAACCAGAAUUCACAUUUCAAGAAUUUGGCAUACAACUGUUAUUCCUUCAAGGUCUACAAUACCACACGGAGGUGGUCAACAUGAUCCAAUUCACUCUUUGAGUACACCAAAAUGUCUUCUAUGAAGACAAUGACAAACAUAUUCAAUAACCGCUGAAAGACCCAAUUCAUCAAAUCCAUGAACACCGUUGGGGCAUUGGUCAACCCAAAAGACAUAACCAGAAACUCAUAAUGCCCAUACCGGGUAUGAAAAGCAGUCUUAAGGAUAUCCUUCUCCGUAAUCUUUAACUGAUGAUACCCAAAUCGGAGAUCAAUUUUGGAGAAAAACCUAGCACCCAGCAACGAAUCAAAUAAAUCAUCUAUCCUUGGAAGAGGAUACUUAUUAUUUACCGUCACCUUAUUUAACUAUAGGUAAUCAAUACACAUCUAAAUGGAACAAUCCUUAUUACACAUGACUAACACUGGUUCAUCCCACGGGGACACAUUAGGAUGGAUGAAACCUUUAUCUAAAAGAUCUUUUAAUUGCUUCUUAAGCUCCUUUAACUCAGCUGGAGCCGUUCUAUAUGGAGGAAUAAAAAUUGGACGAGUGUCCAGAACAAGAUCAAUCCCAAACUCAAUCUCCCUAUCUAGAGAAACACCAGGAAGGUCAUCAGGGAAGACCCCAGGAAAUACAUUCAACACCUGGACAAAAUGCAGAGAAGGACCCUCCGAGUUAGAAUAUUUAAUUCAGACCAAAUGAUAGAGACACCCUUUGGAUAUCAAUCUCUGAGCUCUAAGAUAUGAUAUAAACCUAUAUUUAGGAUCUCGGGAACCACCCUUCCACUAAAUAACUGGCUCCUUAGGAAAUCUAAAAAUGACCUUAUGGGUCUGACAAUCUAGAGAUGCAUAGCACGAAUGCAACCAAUUUAUCCCCAAUAUAACAUCGAAAUCCACCAUAUCUAAUUCAAAUAAAUCCAUCAAAAACUAUUUACUACCAAUAGAUACCACACCCUCUAUAGAAUCUUUUAGCAAUCACCGAGUCACCUACCAGGGUAGAAAUGGAAAAAGGGUCCGAAGCAUAUUCGAGACCAAAAACCAAAAUGCACAGCUACAAAAGGAGUGACAUUAGAGAAUAUAGACCGUGGAUAAAGUAAAUAAUAUACACCACGAGAAAAGAGUUGCAAUUACCAGUCACGACAUCAGGCGAUGCCUCGGCUCUUGUCGGGUAGUGAGAGAAUAUAGACAUUUCUGACCUAUUGCAAAACUAGAUGGUGCACCCUUUGGUGUUGGAGAUGAAGACAAAGCAACCAUAACCUUGUUUUCCCUAGAGGAAACCUUACCAACAGGACAGUUUCUAAGCAUAUGCCCUAGUUGACUACAGUUGAAGCACCUGUACCUUCUCUCAUCAUAGAAACCCCAAUGCAAACAACCAUAGAACCUACAAAGAGGAUAUGAUGAAGCCAAAUAAGCCCCACUAACUUGAGACUUGGCACCCUAUGUCAUAAAGUUGUCGCCACUUUGGAAAUGCCUGUCACUCGAUGACUUUAGGUAAAGGGCACUAGCCGUGCAGAAGGAACCAGAGCUCCCCCCACUUCUUUUUUGGCCACUUACUACCAUCCUUUCCACUAUGCUAUUGACCAUCACCCUAUUUAGAAAACCUAAACUCUUGCCCUACCUCUUCUUAACUCCGCCUGCUUCUUUUUAUCUUUCUCUACUUACUACAUAUACACAACCAACCAGGAGAUAUCCAUAUCCUUGAUUAACAAGGAAACCUUACUCUCAAUGAUCAACUCGCGAUACAAUCCUAAAGUAAACUUUAUCAUUCUAGCUGUCAUGCUAUAAACCAACUUCGAAGCAUACCAUGAUAACUGGUGAAAUUUUAAGGCAUACUCCUUGAUUGACAUCUUACCCUGCCUCAGAUUAACAAACUCUUCUACCUUAACCUCCCUCAACUCCUUGGGAAAGAAGCCAAGCAUUAGAGAAAUCCUCCCACAGUGAUGACUCAUCACCGUCACCCUUUGUUUGAUCCCAUUCCUUAUACCAUUAGUAUGCCAUAUCCUUCAGCUGAUAGGCAAUAAACUCCACCUUUUCCAUAUUCGUGGCAUACAUAACACAAGAUAUUUUCUAUCUCAUCCAGAAAACCUUAAGGAUCCUCCUCUACCUUAACACCCAUAACGUUUGAAGGGUUCAACCUUAUGAACUGUCUGACCCUUAUGGCCUCAGAAAAUGGAGUAACAAAAAUAACAUGCUCAGACUAAGUAGCUAUCAACUGUGGCAACAUAUGAAUGGACUGACGAAACUCAGCAUUCGUCACUUCAGCCUGAGGAGCCUGAGAUGGUCUAGAGGGAACCGAUAGAACUCUAGAAUAAUUUGGAGUUAGACCGCUAGAUAGAGUAUGGAUCCCAUGAGUAGAGCGUGCCCUAUCCAUAUUAUCCUAGUCGGGGCAGAGGAGUUUCUGUGAACUUCAGAUCAUUGAGGUGAUCUGAAAAAUGAAUAAACAAGAAUUAAAGAAGAUUCUAGGCUUAGAAUCUAAGCUUGAAAAUAGAACACAAAAAGAUAAAUAUUCGUAGAUGCCUCGUAGGCUCUCCCUUAUGAGUGUGGCAUGCUACGCACCCUUAAAAGAGACUCUACUUGACAUGACUUUGUGGACUCCCAAUUGAUCAUAAACCUAGGACUGAUACCAAUAUAACACGACCCAAACUAGGGCCUAGUAGUGUUGAGUGCUUCAAUCCCAAUCGGGACCGAAGCCCACCCCAAUACCCAAUAAUAACCACCCUACACCUUAUAUUGGAUGAGUUUCAUACAUAUAACAUGAUAAAAUAGAACAAUCAUAAAUCAAAUACAGUCAACCAGUGUCAUCCUCAAUACAAAUACUAAUGUGAAGGCUAACACAAUUGCCGAUGCUACCCAUACCUACCUAAAGUAGUCCCAUAAAGCCUCUAUCCUAAAGUAAAGCAAUACCCGCUCGGGACAUGCCCUCAACCAUAGCCAAAACCCAAAGUCAAAUAAAUAACAAAAGUAUGCAGAGAAGUCCAUAACAUGAAAUAGAGCCUUCUAAAGUAUGGAAGCUCACCACUUUAAUCCGACACAAGCUGUCCCCUAAUCCAAUCACUGAGCAAGAAGAGUAGUAUAGAUGGUUCCUCCAUCGUGUGGGGAAACAGUGCUCGAAGAUAGGUUAGCGGGUGAACACUAACAUGCACUCAGGAUAAGAAUAAAAUAAUGCUAAUAUUUGAAACCAAGUAAUAACCAUAUGCAAGCACAACCAUACAUAUGCAUAUAUAAUCCAUGCUGGGAAAAGGAACCGAAUUUAGUAUGUAUUUAAAACCAUUAACAUGGGUAUGUGUAGCUUAACCGUCCUAGAACCACCCACAGGCUAUAUGGGUCCAGUGUUACCCCUUGAACGGGCCCUAAUACUUGUAGCCUUAUGAACCAGAGAUAUCAUAGGUGUAGAGGUUUCCCAUGUACCCUUCUCUUUCCAUGAUACAUAUAUACAAGUAUAACUUAGGGGAUUCUCGUGUACCCCACAAGUAAAUAGUCGCCAUGACCAAUCCUCAUGUCGACAAACAUGAGUUUCCAGUGUCCAUCCAUUGGACUCCCACCUUCAUUAUUAACUAUCACAACCCGCCAUUAUUGCCCAAUCAAAACCGUUAGCACAUAACUAAAACACCAAUUCCAUAUAUUAGUAACCAAGGCUAUAAGAAGUGGUAACAUCAUACCGACUAUAGCUUGCAAGAAAUAUCCUUAGCCAAUUACUUAGGGGAUUCCCAUGCACCCCAUAGGUUCUAUUAUUAGACUCACUUGAGGGAUUCCUGUGUACCCCACAAGGUUUUAAAUCAAAGUCAUGGCCACUAAGGCCUUACCACUUAGCCACGAAAACUAUUUAACUAAUUUAGGUUCUAUUUCCAUAUUAUACUAUGCAAAGAUUUCAAUGAAAGUCCAACUAUAUAGUAAAAGCGUUCUCAUAGGCAUUUUAACAAACAUGUUGAGGGCAUAUAGUUUCCAAAACCCAAACCAAGUACCAAUUGACCAUUCCCAUGCAACCACAUGUUCAACCCACCAUUAUAUGAAAACCAUAAGUAAAAACAUGGGAAAAAAAUAUCCAACCAUUUACAACCGAAACCCUCAACAUAUAAUUAAAAACAUGGGAAAACCAUAUCCAGCUAUUUACAACCAAAACCCUCAACAUAUAAUUUAAAACCAAAAAUACCUAUAAUUGAAUCAUGAAGACCAUUCAUUAAAAAUAUGAAUUUAGUUGAACAAACAAUAAGGGAAGAUUAACAUGACUUAGAUACCAAAGAAGAUGGAGAGAAUCACCCUUGAAAGCCCCAAUUGAUAUGCUUGAUGAAAACCCUAAGUGUUCUUGACCUUGAGGAUUUGAGAGUGUUUGAGAGUCUAUUUGAAGUGUUUUUGAUAGCUAAUGAUGCCCUAAUAAAGUUAUAAGAUGUGGUUUUUAAGUUGCGUAAGAGGGAAAAUAUCAAAAAUACCCUUAGCUUAAAAGUUGAAAAAUACGUGUAGGAGGGUACGACUCCCUCCUCCUUGACUCGUAUACACAACAUACGAGUGGUACCCACUACUUGUACCCUAGACAGAAUGAUAAACAUCACACACUAUCCACCAUACAACUCCCAAGGACCAACUUAUACCAAAUUAUAUGACAAGUACCCAUAACUCGUACCCUAGGCAGAAUCUCCUAGGCAAGACAUAUUGAGCAACAUAUGAGUGGCUCACCUAAUUUAUACCAUCUUCGUAUGAGUCUUAUGAUAUCAUUUCAUACCUUGGACAGAAUAUAACCAAAUCAUACUAAUUAUCAUAUGAGUUGAGAACCCUAAACCAUACUACAUCAUACGACACAUACUCACAAAUCGUAUAAUGUCCAUAAGCUUAAACUCACGAUAUUUUGUAAGGAUCAAAACCCAGGGUAUUUCAAAAGUAACCGAAGAACCCCUAGGACCCUACAUCAUAAAACAAUGCAAUGUACGGGGAUGGUUAGUGGGAUGAGCAUUAGCAUAUAUCUCAAGAAAGGGAUAAAAUAAUGCCAUGAUCAAAUCGGUCCAAAACCAUUCAAAAACUAUAUACACACACUCAUAUAUACAUAUAUAUAAUAUGCCUCGAUAGGGAACAAGGCUAAAACAUGAAUUUAUAAAAUCAUUAACCUAGACUGUGUAGCUCUAGCCAUCCAAAGGGUACCCACGGGCUAUAUGGUUUCAGCUUCCUUUACUGAAAGGGUCCCAGCGCAUGUUAGCCACACAAACUAGGAAAAUUUGAGGAAGGGCCAAGGAAUCAAUGACCCCAACCAUUGUAAUAUAUAUAUAUAUAGUGUGAACUAUGCACACAGUCAUCAAGACCCCCACAUUGUCAAAAGUGAUUUCCAGCAGCGAUCCGCCCAGGACCUCCACCUUUCACGAUGAGCUACACAACCCCCUUUAAGCCUAAAGUAAAAUUAUUUACAUAUUUUUAUACAUUAACUAAGUAGUCUUUUAAUUAGGUAUUUACCAUUGGUAUCAUCAUACCAAAUAAAGUUUAAGCUUGUAAGCCAAUCCGAUUUUGUCAUUCCAAAACCAAUUAGCCAAAACGACUUAAAAGUUUCCAAUUAAAAACCAAUCCAUGGACACUAAGGUCUUCUAAAAACCAAUUUAAGUUCUAUAAACCUUUAUACAAUGUGAAGUUCCAAAUGUGAGUUCAAUUAUGUAGGUAUCUAUGUUUUGAAACCAAUUAGCCAAGUUGGGUUGAGGGUAAAGCCAAUUACAAACUAUUAAACCAUAAAAUUUGGUGAGACCCAUGUUCCUCAUUCCUAUUUGACCCACCCAUGUAUUCAUUUAGUUCAAAACCACAGGAUAAAACACAAAUAACCUAUUCAAACCAUGGGGAAAUCAAUUCAUUUAGUAGCCAUUCCAAACCCCUCAGCCCAUAGUCAAAAUCCAAUAAUUAAAACCAUAUGAAUGAUAAUUAAAGACAUGAUUUGUGUUAAAACAAUUUAGGAAAGAGGUAUAUUCCUAGAAUACCAAGAAUUAUGGAGAGAAAACCACCAAUGAAAGUCUAGAUAAUCAAGCCCUUGAAACCCUAGCUUGUUCAUAAUUUUGGAAUUUAGAGAGAAGAGAGUAAUGUUUAUGUUUGUUAACUGAUAGUAAUGGGGAGAAAGCAAGGGUUUUAAGUCAUGGAAAUAGUGGAAUAAUAAGAAAAUACCACAAUGCCCUAAAUGAAAAUGGGCAGAAAUAUAACGCCCAGUCGCUAAGGAUCAAGUAACUACUCGUAGUGACUGAUCAUGAGUUGUCACCUUCACUCAUAGCCUAAUCAGAACACUCUGGGCACCAUACUGUUAUAGUCUUGAGUCUUUUAUCAUGACUCAUGACCUUACCCUAUGACUCAUGGGGUUUUAGUCGUGAUCAAGAUAGAAACAUAGACAACCUUAUAAUUAUGACUAUGAUUGACACACUAUGACUUAUGAUGAGUAAUAAUAACUCAUCACGUGAGUCAUUUCCUGGGCAGUGAUUAAGAAAUUUUUAGAGGCUGAAACCUGGGCUAUUACACAAGUAGGCUAAUUUUUUCUUUAUUAUGACCUUUUAAGAUGCAAAAUAACAAAGCUUUUAAGAAUAUAUGAAAUUCUGCGUAUUUUAGUGUCAUUUUAAGUUGUGAUCAUCUUAUCUCAAAGUUUAAGCUAUUAAAGAGACAUACUUUUUAUUUAUGGAAUUUUAUCUUCAACAUUUUAAGGCUAAGAUUUUUCCGCUUUGUGAUGACUCUUUUUCUAAAAAAGGUAAUUGUUCUUCUAUUGAUUCUUUGGCAAAUAAAGUUAUAUUGUUGGAUGAGAUUCCAAGUAGGUCAUAUGAACAAAGCAGAGUGGAGCAUCAUAUUUACUUUACAACUCAAAUCUAUGUUCUUGUUAUUAUCUGUGGACCUCUGAAGACAAUGCUAUUACUACAUGGGAUAAUAGUUAAAUUUGACAAAUUAUUUAGUUUCUUUUCAAUAGAAAUGUACAACUUGAGUUGUACAUUCUUGUGAGGGAAAAUGAGACAAAAAGAUGCAGACUAAAUAUAAGCUUCUAACUAAUAUAAGAUGUAUGAUUUGUUAGCAACUAAAAAGUUGAAUUUUAAUUUUCAGAAAAAUAUCCAGUUCUACAAAUUAGCUUGAACCAUCAUAAGAUGAUUUUAGUUAUGCACAAGAAAAAGAAGCUAAAAGGAAAAUCAUGAUGCAUAUUGAAAAAAAUCAAAUGAAGAAAAGAAUGAUAACAACAUAGAAAUAAAAAUAUAAAGAUGAUGCUUACUGAGCCCUUGAGGAGUUCAAACAACUCAUUAAUCUCAACAGAUAUGUUGUUAGUUGUAAAAAACCAUCUAAGGAUUCUCGAUGAAGAAAUUUCUUCUAAAAACACCUUUAUUUUUUUUUUGGAGGGGAGAAAUAACCUCAAAUGCCUAACACUACAUCAAAAUAAAGAUAUUAAGAGAGAGAGGCUCAGAAUAG